UACAGAGGGGGCAAGCGUUGUUCGGAAUUACUGGGCGUAAAGGGCUCGUAGGUGGCCAACUAAGUCAGACGUGAAAUCCCUCAGCUUAACUGGGGAACUGCGUCUGAUACUGGAUGGCUUGAGUUUGGGAGAGGGAUGCGGAAUUCCAGGUGUAGCGGUGAAAUGCGUAGAUAUCUGGAGGAACACCGGUGGCGAAGGCGGCAUCCUGGACCAACACUGACACUGAGGAGCGAAAGCGUGGGUAGCAAACGGG
rnacentral:rRNA from 1 species